GACCUCUCUGGUGGCCUAGUGGUUAGAGCGUCCGCCUCGGAUGCGAGAGGUCAUGGGUUAAAACUCCGGCCGAGUCA